rnacentral:sRNA from 1 species
CCUCGCGAACCAAAACAGUACUCAGAUA